CCGAACUCCAAGGCAGGAAUGCCUCGCUUCCGUGCUGGUUCUGUCAGGCCCAGUUCACUGGGGAACUUUGCGGGGAGGGAGAUGAGUGCGUUUCCUGAAGGAGCGCUCCUUUCUCAAACAUACCCCUCUCCGGCUUCAGCCUUCGGGACUAAGUCUGAGCUUGUAAAUAAACCAUACCCAGUGCUUUAGCGGCAGUUGGAUGUAGCAGAGUAAAAAUAUUUUCUUCUAUUUCAAAUAAGAUUAGGAACUCAUCACGAAUAAAUUACACGUGCAUGUGGGACAGGUGUAUUAUGUUAAGAUGCCAGUCGAAAGAUAUGGAUAUUUCAAGUCGAAGCACAAAGAUAUUUUUCAUCUGGUAAGUGAUGAGCUUUGCUUUUUGCAGAACACUGUGGUCAGAGUAGACUUUUUAACAUUUUUAGAGCAAGUAUUUAAAAUAAAUACUUAUCAUAUUCAUGUUGCUAUUCUUCUUUUAAAAAUUUAUUUUAAGGGUAGGUGGAGAAUAAAGAGGAAAAACAUGGAACGCCAUUUAUGAAAUGACAUUCUCAUCCAAUUCCUCCAUCCCAAAUGAAUGAAGAUUUAUGGAGUAGAGACCUCUGCGGGGCAGGAGGUGGGACCAUCUGUAGAAGUGCUCAAGAGAGACCAGCUGAAGAGCCAAGGAUGAGCUGGAGAUCCACCGGCAAAUGGUCAGCAGCGAGACAGACGGAAGGCCUUUAUCAUCUCCAGGCCCUCUCCAAACACACAAAUCAAUAACAAUUAAAGCAGAUUAUGAAAAGGCAA
rnacentral:lncRNA from 1 species